AAAGAAACCAACCGGGAUUGCCUCAGUAACGGCGAGUGAAGCGGCAAGAGCUCAAAUUUGAAAGCUGGCCCCUUCGGGGUCCGCGUUGUAAUUUGCAGAGGAUGCUUUGGGUGCGGCCCCCGUCUAAGUGCCCUGGAACGGGCCGUCAGAGAGGGUGAGAAUCCCGUCUUGGGCGGGGUGUCCGUGCCCGUGUAAAGCUCCUUCGACGAGUCGAGUUGUUUGGGAAUGCAGCUCUAAAUGGGUGGUAAAUUUCAUCUAAAGCUAAAUACUGGCCGGAGACCGAUAGCGCACAAGUAGAGUGAUCGAAAGAUGAAAAGCACUUUGAAAAGAGAGUUAAACAGCACGUGAAAUUGUUGAAAGGGAAGCGCUUGCGACCAGACUCGCCCUCGGGGUUCAGCCGGCACUCGUGCCGGUGUACUUCCCCGGGGGCGGGCCAGCGUCAGCUUGGGCGGCCGGUCAAAGGCCUCCGGAAUGUAGUGCCCCCCGGGGCACCUUAUAGCCGGAGGUGCAAUGCGGCCAGCCUGGGCUGAGGAACGCGCUUCGGCACGGACGCUGGCAUAAUGGUCGCAAACGAC
rnacentral:rRNA from 1 species